AUUGAACGCUGGCGGCAGGCUUAACACAUGCAAGUCGAGCGGAGAUGAGGUGCUUGCACCUUAUCUUAGCGGCGGACGGGUGAGUAAUGCUUAGGAAUCUGCCUAUUAGUGGGGGACAACAUUCCGAAAGGAAUGCUAAUACCGCAUACGUCCUAUGGGAGAAAGCAGGGGAUCUUCGGACCUUGCGCUAAUAGAUGAGCCUAAGUCGGAUUAGCUAGUUGGUGGGGUAAAGGCCUACCAAGGCGACGAUCUGUAGCGGGUCUGAGAGGAUGAUCCGCCACACUGGGCCUAAGACACGGCCCAGACUCCUACGGGAGGCAGCAGUGGGGAAUAUUGGACAAUGGGGGGAACCCUGAUCCAGCCAUGCCGCGUGUGUGAAGAAGGCCUUAUGGUUGUAAAGCACUUUAAGCGAGGAGGAGGCUACUGAGACUAAUACUCUUGGAUAGUGGACGUUACUCGCAGAAUAAGCACCGGCUAACUCUGUGCCAGCAGCCGCAGUAACAC
rnacentral:rRNA from 1 species